AGUUUGANCCUGGCUCAGGAUGAACGCUGGCGGCGUGCCUAAUACAUGCAAGUCGAACGAGUUCUCGUUGAUGAUCGGUGCUUGCACCGAGAUUCAACAUGGAACGAGUGGCGGACGGGUGAGUAACACGUGGGUAACCUGCCCUUAAGUGGGGGAUAACAUUUGGAAACAGAUGCUAAUACCGCAUAGAUCCAAGAACCGCAUGGUUCUUGGCUGAAAGAUGGCGUAAGCUAUCGCUUUUGGAUGGACCCGCGGCGUAUUAGCUAGUUGGCGAGGUAAUGGCUCACCAAGGCGAUGAUACGUAGCCGAACUGAGAGGUUGAUCGGCCACAUUGGGACUGAGACACGGCCCAAACUCCUACGGGAGGCAGCAGUAGGGAAUCUUCCACAAUGGACGCAAGUCUGAUGGAGCAACGCCGCGUGAGUGAAGAAGGCUUUCGGGUCG
rnacentral:rRNA from 1 species